rnacentral:rRNA from 1 species
CACGUAGGGCGCGAGCGUUGUCCGGAAUUAUUGGGCGUAAAGAGCUCGUAGGCGGCCUGUUGCGUCCGCUGUGAAAGCCCGGGGCUUAACCCCGGGUCUGCAGUGGAUACGGGCAGGCUAGAGGUAGGUAGGGGAGAAUGGAAUUCCCGGUGUAGCGGUGAAAUGCGCAGAUAUCAGGAGGAACACCGAUGGCGAAGGCAGGUCUCUGGGCUGACACUGACGCUCAUGCACGAAAGCGUGGGGAGCAAACAGG